rnacentral:tRNA from 1 species
GCGCCGGUAGCUUAGUGGUUAAAGCAGCCGACUCAUAAUCGGCAGAUCGUGGGUUCAAAUCCCACCCGGCGCACCA